rnacentral:rRNA from 1 species
GACGUAGGGCGCGAGCGUUGUCCGGAUUUAUUGGGCGUAAAGAGCUCGUAGGCGGCUUGUCGCGUCGUCCGUGAAAACCUGGGGCUCAACUCCAGGCUUGCGGUCGAUACGGGCAGGCUAGAGUUCGGUAGGGGAGACUGGAAUUCCCAGUGUAGCGGUGAAAUGCGUAGAUAUUGGGAAGAACACCUGAGGCGAAGGCGGGUUGCUGGGCCGACACUGACGCUGAGGCGCGAAAGCCAGGGGAGCAAACGGG